AAUAGAUACCCGGGUAGUCCACGCCGUAAACUAUGGAUGCUAGCUGUAUUCGGUAUCGACCCCGGAUGUAGCGAAGCUAACGCGUUAAGCAUCCCGCCUGUGGAGUACGGUCGCAAGACUAAAACAUAAAGGAAUUGACGGGGACCCGCACAAGCGGUGGAGCGUGUUGUUUAAUUCGAUGGUAAGCGAAGAACCUUACCCAGGCUUGACAUCCCGAGAAUCCUUCCGAAAGGAAGGAGUGCAUUUUGAACUCGGUGACAGGUGUUGCAUGGCCGUCGUCAGCUCGUGUCGUGAGAUGUUUGGUUAAGUCCAUCAACGAGCGCAACCCUUGUGAUUAGUUGAAUUUUUCUAAUCAGACUGCCCUGGCAACAGGGAGGAAGGGGGGAUGAUGUCAGGUCAGUAUUACCCUUACGCCUGGGGCUACAAACACGCUACAAUGGCCGGUACAAAGGGCUGCCAAGUCGCGAGACGGAGCAAAUCCCAUCAAAGCCGGUCUCAGUUCGGAUAGCAGGCUGAAACUCGCCUGCUUGAAG
rnacentral:rRNA from 1 species